AUUUAAUUUUAAUUGUGGGAAGAAAGGCAGAUACAAGCCCACUGCUCUGAGGUUCCUGGGACAUCCUGUAGCAAAGAUUCUCCAUGCUUACAACCCUAGUAGGGACAGCGAGGUUGUGGUGAAUUCAGUGUUUGCAGCUGCUGGACAUUUCCAUGUACCGCCAGUUCCCUGCAGGGUAAUUCCAGCAAUGGGGAAAACUUCCUUCAGAAUUAUUUUCUUACCUACUGAAGAAGGAAGCAUUGAAAGUUCCUUAUUUAUUAAUACCUCUUCGUAUGGAGUCCUUUCCUAUCAUGUAUCUGGAAUUGGCACUCGUAGAAUCUCUACAGAAGGGUCUGCAAAGCAGCUACCAAAUGCUUAUUUUCUGCUUCCAAAGGUCCAGAGCAUUCAGCUGUCUCAAAUGCAGGUCAUUUUAAUAGAUUUACUUUGAAUGCUGGUGGCCACCAAACUUUGUAACCUUCUCAGAAUUGGUUAUUUUACUAUUUUCUGCUUUUUGAAAAAAUUAUAUAGAAGUAAUAUACAUAUAUAAAAUAUCAGUGGAUUCCACCUAACUUCUUUUUAAUGGCUGUGGAGUUCACAGUGUUGAUAUUCCAGAGUUUGCUUAAUCUUAUUGUUGGUCUUUUGAAAUGUUUCCUGUUUUUCACUGUUAUUACCGUUAGGCCAUAUACCUAUUUUAUAAGUUUCUUUAAUUUUCCUUCUGAAUCCUCUGUUUCCUUGGGGCAUGUUUCAUAAAGAGGAGAGAUUCUUUAGUUAAAGACUGUGAACGAUUUUGUAGAGCUUGUUAAAUCUUACCAGCUUGCUUUUCAGGG
rnacentral:lncRNA from 10 species